CGCCUUUUGAGUUACCAGUAUAAAAGGUCCUGCCUGCCCAGUGACACUGUUCAACGGCCGCGGUAUUAUGACCGUGCAAAGGUAGCGUAAUCACUUGUCUUUUAAAUAAAGACCAGUAUGAAUGGCAAGACGAAAGCCAAGCUGUCUCCCCAGAUUAGUCAAUGAAAUUGAUGUUCCCGUGCAGAAGCGGGAAUAAUAAUAUAAGACGAGAAGACCCUGUGGAGCUUCAAACUUAAGCUAACAAAUUAUAAUGUCUUAGCACCCAGUUUUAGGUUGGGGCGACCACGAGGUAAAACGAAACCCUCGAAACUAAUUAAGAAGGACACUUCAACAAUACAUAUAACUAAUUGACCCAAUAAUUGAUCAACGAACCAAGUUACCCCAGGGAUAACAGCGCAAUCUACUCAAAGAGCCCAUAUCGACGAGCAGGUUUACGACCUCGAUGUUGGAUCAGGACCCCCCAAUAACGCAACAGUUAUUAAAGGUUCGUUUGUUCAACGAUUAAAGUCCU
rnacentral:rRNA from 1 species